CCUCUUUCCGAACUUUGCUUUUCAAAUUUGCAAAGUUUGAGAGAGCUUCGGCCAUGGCGGCUUCCUUUGCUAAAUGCUUUAUCAUAGUUAGUGUUCCUUCGAAUACUUCCUCACCUUCUACUCGAUCUUCGUUUCUUCCUCUGUACAAGCCUUAAUCCUUUGUUUCCUUAAAGGCUUCGUCUUCUCGAUC